UUCAGCGAUUUUCAAGUGCUGCUGUUGUAGGUUGGUCUGGUAUCCGCAGUUCUGCGGCGCAAUGCCCCAUCUGUACUUGCUGUCUUGAUCAUCGCCCUUAUCAGGGGCAUGGCCCCGUCAAUUAUUCGGAGAUUCAAGGCAUGGCAACAGGUACCGUCAAAUGGUUUAACGAUUCAAAAGGUUUUGGUUUCAUUACACCGGAUCAGGGUGGCGAAGACCUGUUCGCCCACUUCUCUGCAAUUCAGUCCAGCGGUUUCAAGACCCUGACCGAAGGCCAGAAAGUCAGCUUUGAUGUAACGACUGGCCCGAAGGGUCUGCAGGCGAGCAACAUCCAGCCGGUGUAAUACAGGUCAGUACCAUCUGACAAUGAAAGCCCGGUUCAUGCCGGGCUUUUUCUU
rnacentral:sRNA from 1 species